rnacentral:rRNA from 1 species
AUGAAGGUCUUAGGAUCGUAAAGCACUUUCGCCAGGGAUGAUAAUGACAGUACCUGGUAAAGAAACCCCGGCUAACUCCGUGCCAGCAGCCGCGGUAAUACGGAGGGGGUUAGCGUUGUUCGGAAUUACUGGGCGUAAAGCGUACGUAGGCGGAUUGGAAAGUUGGGGGUGAAAUCCCAGGGCUCAACCCUGGAACUGCCUCCAAAACUAUCAGUCUAGAGUUCGAGAGAGGUGAGUGGAAUUCCAAGUGUAGAGGUGAAAUUCGUAGAUAUUUGGAGGAACACCAGUGGCGAAGGCGGCUCACUGGCUCGAUACUGACGCUGAGGUACGAAAGUGUGGGGAGCAAACAGGAUUAGAUACCCUGGUAGUCCACACCGUAAACGAUGAAUGCCAGUCGUCGGGCAGUAUACUGUUCGGUGACACACCUAACGGAUUAAGCAUUCCGCCUGGGGAGUACGGUCGCAAGAUUAAAACUCAAAGGAAUUGACGG